AUUGCCUCCUCUUUUUUGAUGGAAAUACUUAAACAGCUGGUAAACCUCUGAGCUAUGACAAUACAGAGAUUGUUUCAGGAUUAUCUCUUCCUCAGGAAGGGAGUGAUUAUCCAUCCAUGGAGCAAUUAGAAGAGGAAGAAGAAACAACAACUUGAAGGCACAUGACAAUAACGGCAAAGUUCAAAUCCAAGGAUUCUACAAAAUGCCAGUUCACAUCUGAG
rnacentral:lncRNA from 11 species